rnacentral:rRNA from 1 species
AGAGUUUGAUCCUGGCUCAGAUUGAACGCUGGCGGCAUGCCUAACACAUGCAAGUCGAACGGUAGCAGGCCUUCGGGUGCUGACGAGUGGCGGACGGGUGAGUAAUGCGUAGGAAUCUGUCUUUUAGUGGGGGACAACCCAGGGAAACGUUAGGGCGUAAUACCGCAUGAGCCCUGAGGGGGAAAGCGGGGGAGUCUUCGGACCUCCGCGCUAAGAGAAGAGUCCUACGUCUGAUUAGCUAGUUGGUAGGGUAAAGGCCUACCAAGGCGACGAUCAGUAGCUGGUCUGAGAGGACGGACCAGCCACACUGGGACUGAGGACACGGCCCAGAC